GAUGAACGCUAGCGGCAGGCUUAACACAUGCAAGUCGAGGGGCAGCGGGGACUUCGGUCCGCCGGCGACCGGCAAACGGGUGCGGAACACGUACGCAACUUACCCUUAUCUGGGGGGAUAGCCCGGCGAAAACCGGAUUAACACCUCAUGGUAUUAUUGAGAGGCAUCUUUUGGUAAUUAAAAAUUUAUUGGAUAGGGAUGGGCGUGCGUAAGAUUAGGUAGUUGGUGAGGUAACGGCUCACCAAGCCGACGAUCUUUAGCUGAUGUGAGAGCAUGAUCAGCCACACGGGCACUGAGACACGGGCCCGACUCCUACGGGAGGCAGCAGUGAGGAAUAUUGGUCAAUGGGCGGAAGCCUGAACCAGCCAUGCCGCGUGAAGGACGAAGGCGUCUGCGUUGUAACUUCUUUAUAAGGAAGAACCUACGAUUCUAUUGUAGCCGACGGUACCUUAUGAAUAAGCACCGGCUAACUCCGUGCCAGCAGCCGCGGUAAAAGUGUAGUGUA
rnacentral:rRNA from 1 species